rnacentral:rRNA from 1 species
AGUGAACGCUGGCGGCGUGCCUAAUACAUGCAAGUCGAACGGAGAUUAAGUAGCUUGCUAUUUAAUCUUAGUGGCGCACGGGUGAGUAAUAUAUAGCUAACUUGCCCAUUACUAAGGGACAACAGUUGGAAACGACUGCUAAUACCUUAUACUCCGUAUCUAUAUAAGUAGAUACGGGAAAGUUUUUCGGUAAUGGAUAGGGCUAUAUCGUAUCAGCUAGUUGGUAAGGUAAUGGCUUACCAAGGCUAUGACGCGUAACUGGUCUGAGAGGAUGAUCAGUCACACUGGAACUGAGACACGGUCCAGACUCCUACGGGAGGCAGCAGUAGGGAAUAUUGCUCAAUGGGGGAAACCCUGAAGCAGCAACGCCGCGUGGAGGAUGACACUUUUCGGAGCGUAAACUCCUUUUCUUGGGAAAGAAUUAUGACGGACCCAAGGAAUAAGCACCGCA